UACAGAGGUCUCAAGCGUUGUUCGGAUUCAUUGGGCGUAAAGGGUGCGUAGGCGGCGCGGUAAGUCGGGUGUGAAAUCUCGGAGCUUAACUUCGAAACUGCAUUCGAUACUGCCGUGCUAGAGGACUGGAGAGGAGACUGGAAUUUACGGUGUAGCGGUGAAAUGCGUAGAUAUCGUAAGGAAGACCAGUGGCGAAGGCGGGUCUCUGGACAGUUCCUGACGCUGAGGCACGAAGGCCAGGGGAGCAAACGGG
rnacentral:rRNA from 1 species